GAUCUGCUCUGUCGUUAUUGGUCAGUUGCUCAGAACGCUUCUCGGAAAUUUCACGCCCCUUUUACCAUAUUGGGAAGUCUGCAGCUCCGGCUUCGAGGGCAGCAAAAACACCGUGAGACCCGGAGUCUGAAACCGAAGGAGAGGAUGAACAACCAUCACAACCUUUGCCACGACGGCUGGAGCAGGACGUUUCAGUGUGCAAAAUGCCUACAGAAGCAGAAAAGGUGUGCUGCAGAGAAAUACCACAGGUCAUUUUUACAAGGUAAAUACUAUAACUUACAACCAGGACAUCACAACAGACACACACAAAGCAUGUUAUGUUUGCAUCAUGUCUUUUCAUCAUAAAAACAUUCAACGUUAUUGUUUUGAAAAAUGCGUUAGCCUCUUCUAAUUUCAGUGACUAGAACUACCAACAUAUUUCCCC